rnacentral:rRNA from 1 species
GAUGAACGCUGGCGGCGUGCCUAAUACAUGCAAGUCGAGCGAACGGACGAGAAGCUUGCUUUUCUGAUGUUAGCGGCGGACGGGUGAGUAACACGUGGAUAACCUACCUAUAAGACUGGGAUAACUUCGGGAAACCGGAGCUAAUACCGGAUAAUAUUUUGAACCGCAUGGUUCAAAAGUGAAAGACGGUCUUGCUGUCACUUAUAGAUGGAUCCGCUCUGCAUUAGCUAGUUGGUGAGGUAACGGCUUACCAAGGCAACGAUGCAUAGCCGACCUGAGAGGGUGAUCGGCCACACUGGAACUGAGACACGGUCCAGACUCCUACGGGAGGCAGCAGUAGGGAAUCUUCCGCAAUGGGCGAAAGCCUGACGGAGCAACGCCGCGUGAGUGAUGAAGGUCUUCGGAUCGUAAAACUCUGUUAUUAGGGAAGAACAUAUGUGUAAGUAACUGUGCACAUCUUGACGGUACCUAAUCAGAAAGCCACGGCUAACUACGUG